AACGAACGCUGGCGGCGUGCCUAACACAUGCAAGUCGUGCGAGAAAGUUCCUUCGGGAGCGAGUAAAGCGGCGCACGGGUGAGUAACACGUAGGUAACCUGCCCCCCAGUCUGGAACGACUAGAGGAAACUACUAGCUAAUGCCGGAUGAGACCACGAUCCCUUCGGGGGUUGGCGGCCAAAGAUGGCCUCUACUUGUAAGCUAUCGCUGAGGGAUGGGCCGUGCGGGCCAUUAGCUUGUUGGUGAGGUAACGGCUCACCAAGGCUGUGAUGGCUAGCUGGUCUGAGAGGAUGACCAGCCACACUGGGACUGAGACACGGCCCAGACUCCUACGGGAGGCAGCAGUGGGGAAUAUUGCGCAAUGGGCGAAAGCCUGACGCAGCGACGCCGCGUGGGUGA
rnacentral:rRNA from 1 species